GGAUGUGUUCAAUUCGAUGCUACGCGAAGAACCUUACCUGGGCUUGACAUGCAGGUGGUAGUGACCCGAAAGGGAAGCGACCGGGGUUUUAUCCCUGGAGCCUGCACAGGUGCUGCAUGGCUGUCGUCAGCUCGUGCCGUGAGGUGUAUGGUUAAGUCCCGCAACGAGCGCAACCCCUGCCCCUAGUUGCUAACCCGCGAGGGUGCACUCUAGGGGGACUGCCUCCGUCAAGGAGGAGGAGGGUGGGGAUGAUGUCAAGUCAUCAUGGUCCUUAUGCCCAGGGCUACACACGUCCUACAGUGGCCGUUACAAUGGGAAGCUACAUCGCGAGGUGAUGCCAAUCCUGUAAAAGCGGCCAUGGUUCGGAUUGCAGGCUGCAACUCGCCUGCAUGAAGAUGGAAUCGCUAGUAAUCACUGAUCAGCAUGCAGUGGUGAAUACGUUCCCGGGUCUU
rnacentral:rRNA from 1 species